rnacentral:rRNA from 1 species
ACCAGGAUUAGAUACCCUAUUAUAAAAAUUUAAAUUAAUUUACUAAAAAAUUAAUAGUUAAGUUCUUUAAAUUUAAAAAAUUUGGCGGUAUUUUAGUCUUAUUAGAGGAACCUGUUUAUUAAUUGAUAAUCCACGAUUAAUUUUACUUAUUUUAAUUAAUUCAUAUAUCGCUGUCAUGAAUAUAUUAAAAAAUUUAUUUUCUUUUCUUAUUUUUAUAAUUUAUGUUAAGUCAAGAUGUGGUUUAUAAAUAAGAAUAUAAUGGGUUACAGUAAAUUUUAUUUUUGAAUUUUAAAUGAAAAUUAAGAUGAAAUUGGAUUUAAUAGUAAGUUUAUUUAUUUA